CCUACGGGAGGCAGCAGUGGGGGAUAUUGCACAAUGGGGGGAACCCUGAUGCAGCGACGCCGCGUGGGUGAAGAAGCGCCUCGGCGCGUAAAGCCCUGUCAGCAGGGAAGAAAAUGACGGUACCUGAAGAAGAAGCCCCGGCUAACUACGUGCCAGCAGCUGCGGUAAUACGUAGGGGGCAAGCGUUAUCCGGAUUUACUGGGUGGAAAGGGGGCGCAGACGGCGAUGCAAGCCAGGAGUGAAAGCCCGGGGCCCAACCCCGGGACUGCUCUUGGAAAUGCGUGGCUGGAGUGCAGGAGGGGCAGGCGGAAUUCCUGGUGUAGCGGUGAAAUGCGUAGAUAUCAGGAGGAACACCGGUGGCGAAGGCGGCCUGCUGGACUGCAACUGACGUUGAGGCCCGAAAGCGUGGGGAGCAAACAGGAUUAGAUACCCUGGUAGUC
rnacentral:rRNA from 1 species